GUCAGAAGUGAAGCAGCUUCUUGAUCUUGUGGAGAGUCCAGACUAUAAACUGGAGGAUCUGAGGCCAUGGGUCAGGUAACAUUAACCAGGAGGUUGUGUGGUGUGAGAGGAUGAGCUGUGUCCUGAUGAUCCAGAGGUUGAAGCAGCAGCAGCUUGUGUGGACAGAGACUCUGACUGCAGAUAAAUGCUGAUGUUGAUGAAGAAGUGAGCAGCUCAGUCACAAACAUUCUUCUCCCAGUGAUGCAGCCAGUGUUCAGUUUCUCUCACUCAGCAGAUACAUGUGUUUGUGCUCCUGCUGCUCUAUGGACUCCACUGAGUCAACAUCUAAAACUAUUUGGACUUUUCUGUUGGGUUUCAGUGGAGGUGUGUAUGUGCUGGAUGCUUGAACACAAUCAGCUGAUAGGUGUGUAUGUGCUAUGAUUGGUGUAUUCCUGCUGCGGCCGUAGAAAUAAAAUAGGAACAUGUCAGAUGGAAUCAGCCUCCAAUCAUCAUGUGAUGACUCUUCUGAAAGGAGAACUUCAUCUUUACAGACUCAUGUUGGACGUGUUCUGUUGUUUCCGUACUGAGGCACAAAGAUUCAUGUGUUUUAAAUAUUUAAUCACAUUAUGUAACUAUGUACUAGAGUCAGAUCAUCACUGACCUACAUUAAAUAAAACACACAAUACAUUUGUAGUCAUUACAGGAAACAGCCACUAGGGGCGAUGCAGCAUCUUAUCAUCAUAAUCCAUGUAGUGUUUUUUAUUGAUGUUUAAAUUUCUGCAUAAUUGGGGGCGUGGUCUCCUUGAGUGACAGAUGUGAGCUGUCAGAGGUCACUAGCUACUAGCCACUGUUACAAUUAAUGAGGCAACAUGUGAAUAUUUGUAUUAAUAUUCUGUCUAAAACUAACAUGUUACAAGUCGUUCACUCCAGAAACAGACAGAUCAUGAUCAUCCAUAUAUUCUUGUAUUUGAGAAGAAACUGCAUAAAGUAAUAAAACGUUUAUUGAUACAGACACUCUGUCCUCUGAUUAUCAGAUACAACUAAUGCAGUACAACAACCUGCAAUAAGUAUCAUCCUCAUGAACUAAACACAUGCAUUACUCAGUAAUCUGAGUGUGUGUGUAGUUUCUCUCCAGUUGAUCCAGACAGGCUGCAGGGAUGUUCAACAUGAGGAGAUGAACUAGACUCUAACAGGACUUCCAGUCUCUACAGUCAGCAUUUCAUCACUUCAUCACUGAUUUCUUAUUCCAGUCCACAUGUGUCACCUUUAGUGUUGAUAUUUUCCUGGGCUGGAUCAGACUGUGCAGGUAAAUUCAGGACAUCAUGAGAAAACAGUGUUUCACUCUGGCCCUGAGAGGAACCAGACCAAUGUGGUCAGCAUCAAACAUGAAGAGUAUCCCAAACUAAAGCAGAGGAGAAACAACACAUGCUUCAGAGUGAUCUGAUUCUAAGGGAGGAAGACUUGAAUGAAGAACAUGUUGUAGAAAUCAAUUAGAAACUGGAGACAGAAAAGAGUGAUGCAGAAAUGAAUCUUUGAAAUGAUGAGAAUAAAGUGGAUUCUUUGACUGGAACAGCAGCGUGUUAGUGUGACUUAGUGAAGACUCAUGGAGUGAUGAUGAUGGAACAAACAGUCAAAGCUUUAAGUUGAGUGAAAGGAACAGGAUCUGUUAGAGGAGCUUCCUCCUGAACAAUAAGACUGACAUUAAAUGUGACAUGGAGACAGGGAGGUUUAGCUCCAUGAAAUGACUGAUGAGCUGAUAACACAGACAUGGGUCCCACACUGUGCUCGUAUCUGGAAAACAGCUCUGACACAAACGCAGCUGAUGCCACUUUACUACCAACGUGACGUCGACCUGUUGUCAGCUGUGCAGGGAGGCAGCGCUAGGCUGCUCAGCUGGAUGCUAACCAGUCUCUUUGGACCGAGUCUGCUUCUGUUCUGGUUCUGUUCCUGUGCUGCUUUCUCCAUCUGAAUGCUGAAGAAUCCCACUGUGACCUGGGAGUCCACGUGAACAGCUGUUUUACCCCAUUACCCCUGUGUAGAAAUAAAAGUAGCUUCAUCUGUUUGUUCACUUCUACAGAUCUCUUUCCAGAGUUGAUAUCAGCUGCUGUGCUGUCCUUGAUCAUUUAUAAGGUUGGAUCAGACAUUACAGAGAAAAGAGGAAGGAUUCAUUCCAGGAACUACAUUUAUGGACAGUUUUAGCUCAAUGCUAAAUGCUAACCCAUCACUCACUCUACUGUCCACUGGUUAAACAUGUGUCAGGUGAACUGCUUCUAAACAUCUGGGAGCUCUGUGACCAAAACAACUUUGAUCCUAAAUACUCAACUACAUGUGAAUGAACAGGUCGUACGUCUGGAUUUAGACCAGAGAGUCCAGAAUUUAAAUGUCCUGUCCAGAUUAUUUGUCCUCCUUUUUGGAGUUGCACGUGAACGUUACGCAGCAUAUUGACCAACUAAAAGUGGUGUCAUCGUAGCAUCAGAAGGUUUUUAACAUGCUGAACAGACGGAGCUCAUACAACAGUGAGUGGUCAAAAGAACACACAUUUAUUAGCUCCAGCAGUGAGGACGACCUGCAUGCAUUUUCCACGUUAUGUCUGACUUUAUUUGUGGAGGUGAAGGGAUUCCCAGAGUGGUGGAGGAGGAGACAGCGCCGUCUGGUGGCUCCUAGAGGAGCUGCAGCUCAUCAAAGUCAGUCCAUUCAAAGAAUCAGUGGGAAAUAGUGGAAACCUGGGUCCCAAAAUUGAAACCUUUGUGGAAAAUAUGGAAAGGGUAUUUACUAAAAAACAAAAGGACAAAUGUGUCUGUGGGGAUUUUAACAUGUUGAAACACAGCAUUUAAGAAUGAUUUAUUAAAUUAUAACUGGUAGAGUGGAACUGAUCACCGUGUUCAAGCUGAACUGACGUUGUUUGUGGAAAGAGUAGAUGAAGGGAUUCCCAGUGGAUGAGGAGACAGCGCCUCUAGAGGAAGUGCAGCUCAUCAAAUUCUAUCAGAGUCAAGUCAGAAAAUCUUUGGGACGUGUUCAGGAAAUAGACGGAUCCAGUAAGGAGCUGCUUCUCCCAGUAAAUACAUCGAUCCAGUGUGUAGUUCAGGGACCUCUAAAUGUUUCUAAGAAAUACACACAUCUGUGAUAAAGGUAGGAUAUACCAGUGUCUACGGUGUGUUCACUGUCUGUGGUGGCUUUGCUGACUGUAAAAACAGUUGGACAUUCCAGUGUGUGAGGUGAGUUCAUUGAUUUUCCUGUGCUGCUACCUGGACUCAGUGAGGGAGGUGGGUGACAGGAGAGUCCUGGCUAAACUGUCAUCCAUGCUGGACAAUGAGCACCACCCCUGCAGGGUGACCUGACACCACUGAGGAGAAGCUUCGGUGACAGACUGCUUCACCCUCGCUGUGUGAAGGAACGAUAUAGAAGGUGUUUCCUUUCCUGCUGCUGUUAGGCUCCACAAUGUGUAAUAUUACUAUUACUAAUAUUAUCACUAUGUUGUACUGUGUACAACCCUGUGCAAUAUACAACAAUCACUAUCUGUUUGCAAUUCACAGGAUAUACCACUCUGCUGCUUAAGAUGACGAUGUUUAUCAGGGUUAACUUGAUGUGGAAGAUGUUUUCUUGGCUGAUGAGUCUGGGAAGGAGCGAUGACCCAAGAAACCUGAGUUUAAGCCGAGCUUUAGGCACUGACAAGAGCAGCUGGUCAGCUGACCUGAGUGAGCAACUGGGAGUGCAGGGAUGCAGCAGCUCAAUAAGAGACACUCACUUCAGCACCGGACAGCUCCUCUGAACCCUCGAAAUGAGGCUAACACAAGGAGAGGUCACUUUAGCACUGGACAGCUCCCCUGAACCCUCGAAAUGAGGCUAGCACAAGGAGAGGUCACUUCAGCACUGGACAGCUCCUCUGAACCCUCUCUGGUGCCAUGUUAACACAAGGAGAGGUCACUUCAGCACCGGACAGCUCCACAGGAACAACUUCAUCUUCUCAUCUUGAGCCUUUCGUCAUGCUUUAGGACUUUAGGACAUGCUCCUCUCACAGUAUUCCUUCAACCUAUUGACAGAAGAGAAAAAAGAUCUGCGUUGACAACCUGAAGUGGACAGGUUUCUAUCAAUAACUUUUUCUGCACCAGAUGAGACCCAGUUUAUAGAGCUUCCAAGACAAAGGAAGUGGAAACAAAACACAAACCUUGUCACCAGAUAAAAAUGUUCAACUUGUGUCGUGCUUGUCAAAUCGACCUUUCAGCACAUGAGUACGGCGUAGUCUAAACCUGAAACUGCUCACAUAGAUCUUCAAUUCAUUUUCGGUGUUUUCACACAGACACUUUUUACGUAAACUUUUCAGAGGACCUCAGACUGUAAAGGCAAACACCAACUCACGUAGUCUAAACCAGAGAUUUCUAUACCACCUCCCUUAUGGCCAACAUGUAUAAAUGAACUCCCUCAUCCUAGUCUUUGUGAAACUCCAGACUAUAAGUGUGUAACAUGGUUUUAAUUGUCUGGUGAAAGCGUUCAAAUGCACCCUGCAGAAUCUGGUCUGAUCCUGUAUUCAUUCAUCCAUUCAUUCAUUUGAUAUAUUUCAACAGUACAAGUAAGUAAAACAGUCUACAUCACAAAUGACCUGCAUAUAAUAGGAUCUAAUAAUUCAAUUACUUUCAACAGAAGACGUACAGGUUAAAUAUUCAGAUUCAUUCAUUGAUGCUCAAAAAUUAGUAGGAAGAAGAAGACUUAUUUCAGCCCUCCACACGUUUUCAGGUGAGUAUCAGGUCAUUAACUCGAGACUCUAGUCAUGUGAUCUUCAGGUAGACUACACCCACAAAUUUUCCUGAUAAAAACCUAAACUCCCUACCAGUCACUCUGAGGUGGUGGAAUCGUCUUCAAAAUAACAAAUUAGUCCAGUUGCCCUUGUUUUCUGAAGAAACCCCCAUCCAGGCCCACCUAAGCUUUGCUAAAACAUAGGCCACAGGAGGGGGUGGGACUGGUUUACCACCAUACUCUGAUUACCCUCCACCUCCACAGGCUCCAGGGAGCAGAGUCAGCCUUCUUCACCAGUCUGUUCAGUCUCUGUUUGAGAACCUGCUGCUCCAGCAGACCACUUCAUAGUAGAUGGCGGAUGAAGGACCUAAGAGGACUUAGCAGAUAGAGUCUGCUCUGGUCUUUCCUAUAGACUGCCCUCGUGUGGCCAGUCCAGUCCAGUUUGUUGUUCAGGGGAACACCCAAAGUUUCAGGUGACUCCUCAGUUUGUUAGAUCAGACUUCUUUCACCAGAAUGACCUGGCCAACAAAGGCAACAACACCCAUCCACAGACAACACACAAAUAACAGCAAUCAUGAAAUAAGCCUUAAAAUAGAAAUGCAAACUCUUUAUCAGAUAAAAUGCAGGAGUGAUGACUGGUAACAAUUUAAAAACACAGACACUGUUGAAUGGAUUCUCACUGUUGGUCUUUGAGUAUAGAGAGAAAGGUCUCAAAUGAGAUAAGUUCAGUCAUUUUCAGACUGAAUGGGAUUCCAAGCUGAAGGGGCAGAGAAAUUAAAAGCUUUUUUCUCAGUUCAGUCCGAACACGAGGAACAGCUCGGUGCAAAGUGUUUGGUCUUAAGGUGUACACAAUCUAGUGGUGGUGAGUUCACUGACUGAGAUAAAUGAUUCAUAAACCAGUGUCUGUGGUGAGUUCACUGACUAUAAACGCAGUAGAAAAGUCACUGUCUGUAAAAACAGUCAGACUAUUAGUUUUGGGUUAAAUUAGUAUAAAUCAUGAAAAUAAACUUUCUAAACCUUAGAUUUGGGAAACUUUUUAAUAUUUGACUUCAGCAAAUGUGAUAUUUCUAUUAGACUGAAAGAAUCCACUUUAUUCUCAUCGUUCAUUUAAAAGAUUAAUUUAUAAAUCAUUCUUUUCUAUCUUCUUCUUCGUUCCAGUCGUCCUCCCUUAGAGCCAGAUCACUCUGAUGCAUGUGUUGUCAUGGUUUAUGCCUGUCUUUUAUUUUGUGAUCAUGUUUUGAAGUUUGGAGUGUUUUAUUUUGUCAAGUUUCUGGAUUUCCUGUCUGUGAAAAUCCUUGUGGUUUUUCAUGUCUGUGUGUGUCAUGUUUUGUGUUUCCUGUUUUAUUUCGUUAUGUUUCUUAGUUUCCUGCCUGUCUUGCUUCGUGUUUCUGUCACGAUUAAGUCUUGUAUCGUGUUGUAUUUCCUGUUUUAUUUUGUUAAGUUCUGGGUUCCUGUCUAUGUUCCUUGUGUGUCCCUUGAUUGUUUAUUGGUCUCACUUGGUUUGAUUGCCCUCAUGAGUUUCACCUGUGUCUUCUUCCUGAGCCCUCUUGUGUAUUUAUAGCCCUGCCUUCCCUUUGUUCCUGGUCGUGUCGUUGUGUUACCUACCUGAUGUUAUUUCGUCCCCAAGCCAUGUUCCUUGUUUUCCAUGCCACAUUCAUGAUUGUUUUGAUUUUUGUAUUUUGUACUUACCUGCCUCAACGCAGCGCUUUUUGUUAGUUAUUAUAAAAAAGAAAAACCUUU